rnacentral:rRNA from 1 species
AGUUAUUAUGAAUCACCAAAACAAGGUCGGCUUUGAAUCUAAUAAAUACAGCCCUUCGUAAGUCGGGCCUUUGUGCAUGUAUUAGCUCUAGAAUUACUACGGUUAUCCAUGUAGCAAGGG